GACGAACGCUGGCGGCGUGCUUAACACAUGCAAGUCGAGCGGUAAGGCCCUUUCGGGGGUACGACGAGCGGCGAACGGGUGAGUAACACGUGGGUGACCUGCCCUCAGCUCUGGGAUAAGCCUGGGAAACUGGGUCUAAUACCGGAUAUGACUCCAUGACGCAUGUUGUGGGGUGGAAAGCCUUGUGCGGCUGAGGAUGGGCCCGCGGCCUAUCAGCUUGUUGGUGGGGUGAUGGCCUACCAAGGCGACGACGGGUAGCCGGCCUGAGAGGGCGACCGGCCACACUGGGACUGAGACACGGCCCAGACUCCUACGGGAGGCAGCAGUGGGGAAUCUUGCGCAAUGGGCGAAAGCCUGACGCAGCGACGCCGCGUGAGGGAUGACGGCCUGUGU
rnacentral:rRNA from 1 species